rnacentral:rRNA from 1 species
GAUGAACGCUAGCUACAGGCUUAACACAUGCAAGUCGAGGGGAAACGGCAUUGAGUGCUUGCACUCUUUGGACGUCGACCGGCGCACGGGUGAGUAACGCGUAUCCAACCCUCCCAUUACUGUGGGAUAACCUGCCGAAAGGCAGACUAAUACCGCAUGGUCUUCGAUGACGGCAUCAGAUUUGAAGUAAAGAUUUAUCGGUAAUGGAUGGGGAUGCGUCUGAUUAGCUUGUUGGCGGGGUAACGGCCCACCAAGGCGACGAUCAGUAGGGGUUCUGAGAGGAAGGUCCCCCACAUUGGAACUGAGACACGGUCCAAACUCCUACGGGAGGCAGCAGUGAGGAAUAUUGGUCAAUGGACGGAAGUCUGAACCAGCCAAGUAGCGUGCAGGAUGACGGCCCUAUGGGUUGUAAACUGCUUUUGUAUGGGGAUAAAGUUAGGGACGUGUCCCUAUUUGCAGGUACCAUACGAAUAAGGACCGGCUAAUUCCGUGCCAGCAGCCGCGGUAAUACGGAAGGUCCAGGCGUUAUCCGGAUUUAUUGGGUUUAAAGGGAGCGUAGGCUGGAGAUUAAGUGUGUUGUGAAAUGUAGACGCUCAACGUCUGAAUUGCAGCGCAUACUGGUUUCCUUGAGUACGCACAACGUUGGCGGAAUUCGUCGUGUAGCGGUGAAAUGCUUAGAUAUGACGAAGAACUCCGAUUGCGAAGGCAGCUGACGGGAGCGCAACUGACGCUUAAGCUCGAAGGUGCGGGUAUCGAACAGG